UCAGCUCCUUGCCCCACGUCUUCCCACUCCUGGGCUCAGGCUAAAGGAACAGCUCUUGUUUAGGAUAUGUCAUUCUCCUGGCAGAGGAUCCAGGAAAACGAAACUUGCAAUGCUUUUAAAGCUUCUGCUAAGCUAUGACACAUGUCCUAUCUGCUCACAUUCUGUUGGCUCAAGGAGGUUACAUGGCCAAGCACAAAGCCAAUGAUGUAGGACAAUAUAUUCUGAAUCAUUUUAAAGAAGAAUAGAGUCUCUCACAGAUAUCAAGGAGCUCUUGAUACAUUCUUAUAUAAUCCUUUGUUAGGAUGUGGAUUGCCAUAUAGUCUGCGAUGUGUAGCUUAUUUUCUUUUUUCUUUCUUUCUUUCUUUCUUUGGCUGCGCCGGUCUUAGUUGCAGCAUGCAGGAUCUAGUUCCCUGACCAGGGAUCGAGCCCAGGCCCCCUGCACUGGGAGCGCGGAGUCUUAACCACUGAACCACCAGGGAAGUACCUGUAGCUUAUUUUCAAGUUGUCUUUUUAAGAAAGAAAACUCUUAAUUUUAAUACAGAAAAUGUAUCAUUCUUUUCUUUUAGAGUCAACGUUUUUGUAUCUUGUUUAAGAAAUCUUUCCCUUCUCCAAAGUUCAAAAGAUAUUUCUAUUAAAAUUUUCAGGGGCGUAUUUUUUUUUUUAAGAAGAUGUUGGGGGUAGGAGUUUAUUAAUUAAUUAAUUUUCGCUGUGUUGGGUCUUCGUUUCUGUGCGUGGGCUUUCUCUAGUUGUGGCAAGUGGGGGCCACUCUUCAUCGCGGUGUGCAGGCCUCUCACUGUCGCGGCCUCUCUUGUUGUGGAGCACAGGCUCCAGACGCGCAGGCUCAGUAGUUGUGGCUCACGGGCCCCGUUGCUCCGCGGCACGUGGGAUCCUCCCAGACCAGGGCUCGAACCCGUGUCCCCUGCAUUAGCAGACAGACUCUCAACCACUGCGCCACCAGGGAAGCCCCAGGGGCGUAUUUUUAACACUUAACCAUCUGCAGUUGAUUUUUGCAUAUGGUGUAACGUAAGGAUCCAAUUUAAUCUUCUCUUCCAUGUGGACUGCCAUUUUUCCAGGCCUAAUUUUUGAAUUGAUGUGACAUACAAGCCAUAUCACGUACCAUAGCAUCAUACAUACGUGGUUCUCUUUAUGGACUUUCUUUUUAUUGGUCACCUACUUUAUCACUGCAUUGACCAUAAUGAGCCAUGGUAUCUGGUUAAGAAAGGCUCCCCUCUCUCUUUAUUUGUUGUUUUUUUGUGUUUCAACCAAAAGUGUUCCGGCUAUUUUCACCCUUUUACUCUUUUAUGUCAAGUUUGGAGCCAUUUCAUCAAGUCCCAGGAAAAUCUCUGUUGGGCACCAGUCUGUGCUCUUUACACGGCCAGCUCAUUGAACCCUCACCACUACCUGAUGAAGAUUAACUUCCUAGAAGUGGAAUUACAGCAAGAGAGUAUAAACACAUCUGACUACUAGAGCGAUAAGAAAGAUGUUUCCAAAAAAAAGCGACCAUUUCUUUGUUAGUGGCAAUGUAUAAAGACAGUUGUUUUAUAAAAAGUAGUCCUCAGCAUUGGGUGUCAUUAUUCAACUCCUCUCCAACUUUUUUUUUUUUUUUUGCCAGUUUAGUGAGCAUGUAAGUUUACCCUGUUAUCGCUGCAAUUCUCCUUUUUGUAAAUCCUAUAUCCCUUCUUCCUUCCAAAGACAUCUGGUCAAACGGGCUUCAGAGAGAACUCAUUUCAAUUAGGGUGUACGUGUAUGUGUGUGCAUGCGGUGUAGCUAUGGUUCUUUGUAUCUGGAUACAUAUAAGAGUCCGAGUAUCUGACCGUCUCUGUGUGUGCAUCCGCUUCCAUGUUUAUGCCUCAAAGAACAGACGUGUUGUGGAGUGUAUAUGUCUGGGGUUCUGCUGCGGACCUUGUUUCUGAGCAUGUAUUCCUUGGAGUAUGCUCAUGUGUAUGUGUGAAUAAAUUGUAGCGUGGAA